UACGGGGGGAGCAAGCGUUGUCCGGAUUUAUUGGGCGUAAAGAGCUCGUAGGCGGCCUGUCGCGUCGACCGUGAAAACCCGCAGCUCAACUGCGGGCUUGCGGUCGAUACGGGCAGGCUGGAGUUCGGUAGGGGAGACUGGAAUUCCUGGUGUAGCGGUGAAAUGCGCAGAUAUCAGGAGGAACACCGAUGGCGAAGGCAGCACUCUGGGACGGUACUGACGCUGAGACGCGAAAGCGUGGGGAGCAAACAGG
rnacentral:rRNA from 1 species